GAUGAAGAACGUAGCGAAAUGCGAUAAGUAGUGUGAAUUGCAGAAUUCAGUGAAUCAUCGAAUCUUUGAACGCACAUUGCGCCCCUUGGUAUCCCGAGGGGCAUGCCUGUUCGAGCGUCAUUUCACCACUCAAGCCUGGCUUGGUGUUGGGCGACGUCCCCUUUGGGGACGCGCCUCGAAACGCUCGGCGGCGUGGCACCGGCUUUAAGCGUAGCAGAAUCUUUCGCUUUGGAAGUCGGGGCCCCGUCUGCCGGAAGACCUACUCGCAAGGUUGACCUCGGAUCAGGCAGGGAUACCCGCUGAACCUAAGCAUAUCAAUAAGCGAGGA
rnacentral:misc_RNA from 1 species